rnacentral:rRNA from 1 species
UAGUCCACGCCCUAAACGAUGCCAACUAGUUGUUGGGAGGGUAAAACCUUUUAGUAACGUAGCUAACGCGUGAAGUUGACCGCCUGGGGAGUACGGCCGCAAGGCUAAAACUCAAAGGAAUUGACGGGGACCCGCACAAGCGGUGGAUGAUGUGGAUUAAUUCGAUGCAACGCGAAAAACCUUACCUACCCUUGACAUGUCAGAAAUCCCUGAGAGAUUAGGGAGUGCCGCAAGGAAUCUGAACAC